GUGCCGGCCGCCGCGGUAAUACCGGCAGCACGAGUGAUGGCCGAUAUUAUUGGGCCUAAAGCGUCCGUAGCCGGCCGGACAAGUCCGUUGGGAAAUCGACGCGCCUAACGCGUCGGCGUCCAGCGGAAACUGUCCGGCUUGGGGCCGAAAGACUCGAGGGGUACGUCCGGGGUAGGAGUGAAAUCCUGUAAUCCUGGACGGACCGCCGGUGGCGAAAGCGCCUCGAGAGGACGGACCCGACGGUGAGGGACGAAAGCCAGGGUCUCCAACCGGAUUAGAAACCCUGAGUCC
rnacentral:rRNA from 1 species